rnacentral:rRNA from 1 species
GCAAGUCGAGCGGACCGACGGGAGCUUGCUCCCUUAGGUCAGCGGCGGACGGGUGAGUAACACGUGGGUAACCUGCCUGUAAGACUGGGAUAACUCCGGGAAACCGGGGCUAAUACCGGAUGCUUGAUUGAACCGCAUGGUUCAAUCAUAAAAGGUGGCUUUCAGCUACCACUUACAGAUGGACCCGCGGCGCAUUAGCUAGUUGGUGAGGUAACGGCUCACCAAGGCGACGAUGCGUAGCCGACCUGAGAGGGUGAUCGGCCACACUGGGACUGAGACACGGCCCAGACUCCUACGGGAGGCAGCAGUAGGGAAUCUUCCGCAAUGGACGAAAGUCUGACGGAGCAACGCCGCGUGAGUGAUGAAGGUUUUCGGAUCGUAAAACUCUGUUGUUAGGGAAGAACAAGUACCGUUCGAAUAGGGCGGCACCUUGACGGUACCUAACCAGAAAGCCACGGCUAACUACGUGCCAGCAGCCGCGGUAAUACGUAGGUGGCAAGCGUUGUCCGGAAUUAUUGGGCGUAAAGCGCGCGCAGGCGGUUUCUUAAGUCUGAUGUGAAAGCCCCCGGCUCAACCGGGGAGGGUCAUUGGAAACUGGGGAACUUGAGUGCAGAAGAGGAGAGUGGAAUUCCACGUGUAGCGGUGAAAUGCGUAGAGAUGUGGAGGAACACCAGUGGCGAAGGCGACUCUCUGGUCUGUAACUGACGCUGAGGCG